CCAUGUUAGCCCGGCUGGUCUUGAACUCCUGACCUCAGGUGGUCCACCCACCUUGGCCUCCUAAAUUUGGAAUAACAUCUUAAAAUGAAGAGCAGAGAUUUUGGAAAAUAAUUAGUUCUUCCGAGAUAUAUACCUGCUAUUACUCUUUAGACUCAACGGAGAAGAGUUACUGAAACUGACAGCCUAGAGAAACUGACAGCCUACCUCACUUCACCCCCAACCUUUGAAGAGGGAAGUCAAUAAUACAAAUGGAGAGCCCAUUGCAAUUUGCUAGACUGCAGUGCUCGGUGUUGAGAUCAGCCAGAAUCUCCGGGUAUAAAACACAGGGAACCAGAUAUCAGCUCAAGGAAGGACGAGUUUUCUUAAAAUUUACAGUGGCCCAAAUUUGGACCAUCAGUAAUAACUGCAUGUUCUCAGUGUAUGUAGUGGACUGAGGCCAAAGCAGAACCACCACCACAGCCUGAAGAGUCCUUUAAGAAAUUCUCUUAUUGGGCGGGGUUGGGAUUAAGUGAUCUCAAAUUUCUGUUUUAAUCCUGAGUUCCUAAAAUUCUACACAUCUGUCUUGGGUGAAUGGAAUAGACCAGCUUACAAAACACAGAUCCAUUUCACUGUCUUCUAGGUUUCACCCAUUAUUGGUAUGAGAUGGGAUGAGGUCUAGAGGAGUAUGGAAGCUCAUGUGAGCAUCCUUACUGAGGGGAGAGGACUUGCUGUCUGCACACCCUGGGCUGUGUGGUUCUCAGAAUGAGCCACCUGGAAGGUCGAUCCAAGUACAUGAAGAUUGGAUUUUCUGGUGUCCAGAGUAACCUCUUCACUUUGGGUCUCUGGCAGGCCCCUAUUCCCUUUAUGGAUUUGGAGGCCAGGACACUUUCGGAAGUGCCUGAAUCAUUGACAAAAUCUGUCCUUUUUUUCUUGUUUUUGCUUGAUGCUACUAUGUCUGUCCCUGACUUCUGCUGAAAAGCUAGUUAUGCAUUUCAUUGAUCAUUCCUUGUGUGGAUACCUGUAUUGGCUUUAUUAACAAUGUGUUUAUGGCCUUCAGUUUCUUCCUUAUGGGAAAGAGGGACUCCAACUUCUCUCAACAUUUAAAUAUAUGGACGUUCUGCUGUAUUCUCUCUCUCCUUCAUGGUGAAAAAAAGGGGUGCUGAAGGGUUUGUAGGAAUUCAUUAGUUUUCCAGAAUAAAAAUUGUUUGAAAAUUGCAGGCCGUGGUAGAAGCAGGUAUGGAGUUCCUUACAAGAUAAUUCUAAGAGGUGUGUGUGUGUGUGUGUGUGUGUGUGUGUGUGUGUGCAUGUGCAUGUUGAGAUGAGUGGUUUCAGGCAUCCAUUGAAGUUACAUUUUUGUGUGUGCUACAGACGUCACAGAGCAAUCUCUUAGCUUCCUUUAUUUACAAGCCAGGAACUUCAGCUGUUUUAUUAAAGACUGGAUGUGAACGCUGAGGUGCUUUGCCAACAAAGACAUCAAAGGGACACAAGUGCACUUUUCCCAUAUGUUUUAGUUAGUUUUUCCCUGCAUGUCUGAUAUCAGUCAGAGAGAGUGCUAGAAUAUAAUACCUCACACCUUGAAGAUUAAACACCUUCUCAGCUGGUAUUUCUGUUUUGACUUCAUUUGCUGCCACCUUAUAUCAUAAGCACCCUGCACCAUGUCAUAGACACUGUUGGUUCUGUCUAUGCAAUGAGAUUGUGUUUUUCAAAAGCGUUUUUUUCUGCAAGUAAGUAAACUCUGCCUGGUCUUUGAUGUGAGCUUAGUCACUGAAUGAAUAGCUUUGUUGGACAAUGAGAUAAGAUUAUAAUAGAGUCUAUAAUAAUGAUGCCAAUCACAGAUGGCAGGAAGGCUGUUAUUCUUAGACUGUUGUAUUUGUAAAUCAUGCUAGAUUUCCCAUGACAAUCUAAAAAUGCCACCUUGUUAGUGAUUGAGGUUUAUAUUUUAAGUUCCCAAGAAAAAUAUUCCAGAAAGAACUUCCUACUCUUCUUUACUGUGUAAUAAAUAAGUUCCAGGAAGGACUCACAUCAUUGCAGGAAUUACCCAGGGGGCAUUUUUACUUCUUCACCUGACCCUGUAACAGGCAGGCAGUUGUCACAUUCACUUAUAUGUAAAAUGAUUCUUACUUGUAUUGAAGGUUAUAUAUUUAUUUUCUGUAGUUUUAUUUUUACCUAAAUUGGAAGCACAUAUUCUGUUAUGGGCCAGGGAGUUGGAGUAUGGAAGCUCAGGGGUUAGGGCACAGGCUUAUUAGGAAGAAGCAGCAAGUCUAGGGACCAAUUAGAGGUGAGGCAUCAGAACUUACACUUGGAGGUAGGUAUUAAAAGGAAAAAAAAGAAAAGACAGUGUUUCUAAACAUUCUUAACUUCUUGGAUUUGGUAUCUUCUUAAGGGCAAAACACUAAGGCAUAGAAAAAUCAGAAUUCAUGUUUCGUUUGUGUUAUACCUUCAGAAAAGUUUUAUGUUUUUAUCUCAGAAAGUGGCUUCUCAAAUUUUGGUUUUAAAAUUUUCUGUUUACUUCCAGGUCCCUUCUCUAUACAUCCCUGUGACUAAAAAGCAGAAUAUGUGCCACUGUGUAGCUAGAAUAGCAAAGGAACUGUGGAAUGUUCCUCUGUAAAGAAAUGACCUUUUUCAACCAUGUUCCUAUAGACGAUGGUCUGAGUGCAGUGUCCUAUCCAGAUUCAGUGUUAAAAUCCUAACCUUCAAAGUGAUAGAAGUAGGUGGUGGGGCCUUUGGGAGGGAUUAGGUCACAGGGGCAAAGCCCUCAUGAUUGGGAUUAGUGCCUUUAUAAUAGAGGCCCGAGAGAGAACUCACUACCCUUCCAUUAUAUGAACACACAGUGAGAAGGCACUGUCUAUAAACCACAAAGCAGGCUCUCAUUAGACAUAGAAUCUGCUGGUGCCUUGAUCUUAUACUUCCCAGCUUCCAGAGCUAUGAGAAAUAAAGUUCUGUUGUUUAUAAGCUAUUCAGCUUAUAGUAUUUUGUUACAGCAGCAUGAACAGACUAACACACUAUGUAAUAGCUGACUAUGAGAAUGAGAAUCUAAAAGCUAGGAAUGGUAGCUUUAUAAACACCACUUAAAUGAGUACUAGCAUUUAAAAGGAAAUUUUAAUGAGGUGGUAAAGAAACAAUCAUCGAAUUUAGACUUAGAAAGAACAUCAGAUUAUUUUGCUCAAUCAUUGCAGUUUAAAGAUAAACAAAAUGAACAUCAGAGAAAUUGCAAAUUGUGUCACAAGUUUUGUUGAACAAGUAAAAUCCUGGUCUCUUGAAUGUCAUUGCUGGACUUUCUUGAGUAUACUUGAUAUCUCCUGUAAUGUAACUGUUCAUACCCAAAUCUACCUAUUUUGUAAUAGAUAUAAGAUUUUUUUCAAACCAAAAAAUGUCUUUAAUCACAAAUUGUCAGUCGUAAUGAGGUAGCAACUAAAAUCUAAUACAUGACUAUUUUUCUCUAUCAAAAAAAGUUCUGAAAGAUUAAACUCAUAUAAAAGAAUAGCAUAUUAUAAGAUGAUUUAUUUUGUAUUGUAAUUUUUAAUUGUAAAAACGUUCACAGCUAUUCUCAUGUAUUUUUCAUUAAAAAAACUUGCAAAGUAAGUGGCUAUUAGCUGUGUUUUACAGAUAAGAAUCCUGAAGGUCAAAAUUUAAAAGAUACAUUUAAGAUAAUAGGACUAAGUGUCAUGCCCAGGUCUUGGUCUUCUGACUCAAAAUCCUGUGUUCCUUUCACUGCCUCGUAGUUUGCUCUUUAAUGGAUAAUUGACCACCCUUCUUUACUUCAUUGGUUAUCUAUUAAAUUGCAUUUCAUUUCAGGAAAUAAUAAUGAGAAUCAUAAAACCAAACAAAUUGUAGUAGGGAAUUUCUAAAAUAAUACUGCAACCGAGGAAACACAUCUAGAAAGACUAAUACGGGGAAGUGUACUCUUCUGGCAACUAGGAGGGACAGAGGCGUUGACAUGCUGGAGUCAGCUCACACAGGCUCGCAAGAACUGACAAAGUUUCAGCAAUUUUGCUGUUAAACUUAAAUUAUAUAAACAAUUGAACAUUAUGUUAAAAACAAAGGUAAUAAAUACUCAAGGCUUGUCCUUUCAUACUACAUUUUACGCUUAUCUAUGCUAUUGGUGUUAUUUACAUCUAUUGUGUCUGUAUGUAUUAUAUGUAUGUCUUAUAAUGGUGUGCUGCUCUUCUCAGUGUGGUGUGGGUAGUUUGAAAUGGAUCAUGAUGGAAAUAUUAAUACUAUAAAAGUCAUGAAUGCUAUAAAUUAUUGUUUUCUUCAUUAUCUAGACUUUAAAAUUAUGGACAAAAUAUUAACAAUAUGGAUUAAUCUUAAAAUUGUAUUGUGUUUGUAGCUGUUACAUUGGAAGUAGCAUAUAAAUGUAAGAAAAUAUUCUUCUAGUAUUUGAAAACUCAUAUAAUUUAGCAAAGUAGUUGUACACAUCAUCGAAAGCUGAGUGACAAUGAGCAGUGACAAUGAGUGGUGAACCCAAAAUAACAAAGCAGACUGACUAUUGAUACAUGGGAUAAUAGUCAAUGGUUAUAGUUCAUAGAGAAAAGGUUAAAUGAUUAUUUAAAAGGGAAUAGGGGGCUGGGCACAGUGGCUCAUGCCUGUAAUCUCAGC
rnacentral:lncRNA from 1 species